UACGUAGGGGGCUAGCGUUGUCCGGAUUUAUUGGGCGUAAAGAGCGUGUAGGCGGCUAUGCAGGUCCGCUGUGAAAACUCGAGGCUCAACCUCGAGACGUCGGUGGAAACCGCAUGGCUAGAGUCCGGAAGAGGAGAGUGGAAUUCCCGGUGUAGCGGUGAAGUGCGCAGAUAUCAGGAGGAACACCGGUGGCGAAGGCGGUUCUCUGGGCAUUACCUGACGCUGAGGAGCGAAAGUGUGGGGAGCGAACGGG
rnacentral:rRNA from 1 species